ensembl:lncRNA
UUUAGUACUUUUCUUCAACAGUUUUUUUUUUCUGAUCAGAAGAGCUUCUAACUGAAAAAUAAUGUAGAUUUUAAGAACAUCACUGCCAACAGUGCUCAGAAGAUACCUCACUAAGUAAUGUAAUUCAGCUUUAAUACCUUGGGAAAUUAUUUACUUGUCUUCUCCAUUUGUUUAAUCUUGAUCCAACUACUUGAUGGCGUUAUUUAUGAACUUAGAUUGUAAGCUCUUUGGGGCAAGGAAUUAUGUGCAGUGCAGGAGAUGUUCUCUGCACUGCACAAAUGAACGUAGAUUAUUAAAUAGUCUGUGAUAGAUAGCAACGUGCACUUCUUCAACACCUGCAAAAUGAUUUAUUUUGGAUUUCGCGAUUGGAGGAGUAUCUGUUUUCUCAUUUGAUUUGCCUUUUUCUGCUACUGAUGUGCCUGUUUCUUCAUUCCACCUGCUUUUUCCAGUUGCUUUUCAAUUGCCUUUUCUCUCUAUUGCCCAUCUUUGAACUGCAGAGAUGAUUUCCAAAGUGCAAAACAGAAAAGCCACUUUUCUUAAAGCAGUAUGUUUAAGUAGACCCAACUUAAGUUAGGUGUUCUGAGGCUCUUUGUACUUCAUUUGCCCCUCACUUGCAGUUGUUUACUACCUGAGCUAAGGGAUCUCUUAAUACGAAAAAUGUUGUACGAGGGAUAAACUAAAGAAAAUAAAUUUUCAGCAUUGUUUCUCGUGUCUCUGUCCAUUAUGGACGGGCUGUCCUGUGUGUCUGUCUUCCAUUUAGGGCAAAGACAAGUUGAGUUGUUCCUUUGAAAUAACUGCUUUUUGAAAUUUGAUUAUUUCAGGAGAGGGUUCAAUACUGACUUAGUUUUUUUUUCAUCUAACUUUGAAUAUCUGCCUGUUUCUCUUCUUGGCUCAAGUAAGGCUGCAUUUAAACUGAUAGGAGAGGUUAUUGGAUGGUUCAUGGGGAGGAAUGUGUUCAAUGUAUAUGUUGCAAUAGGGAGCCACACUUGGAAUCAGGAAUUUCUUCUACGAGGAGCCUGUUGCCUCUUGUAUCCAUUCAAAAGACAAAUAAGAGACUACAUCUGAAAGAACAGCUGCCUUCUGGGAAAGGAGACACCAACAUCAAUGAUAUACUCCUGGCAUACAGUUGGAGGUGGGAGUGGAAUGAGUGCUACAACAGUUGCUGUAAAUUGUG